GAUGAACGCUAGCUACAGGCUUAACACAUGCAAGUCGAGGGGCAGCAUGGCUGAAGCUUGCUUCAACCGAUGGCGACCGGCGCACGGGUGAGUAACACGUAUCCAACCUGCCGUUUACUCCCGGAUAGCCUUCUGAAAGGAAGAUUAAUACGGGAUGGCGUCUUGAGUUCACAUGGAAGCAAGACUAAAGGGGUAACUUGGUAAACGAUGGGGAUGCGUUCCAUUAGGUAGUAGGCGGGGUAACGGCCCACCUAGCCCGCGAUGGAUAGGGGUUCUGAGCGGAAGGUCCCCCACAUUGGAACUGAGACACGGUCCAAACUCCUACGGGAGGCAGCAGUGAGGAAUAUUGGUCAAUGGACGGGAGUCUGAACCAGCCAAGUAGCGUGAAGGAUGACGGCCCUACGGGUUGUAAACUUCUUUUAUAAAGGAAUAAAGUGAGGCACGCGUGCCUUUUUGUAUGUACUUUACGAAUAAGCAUCGGCUAACUCCGUGCCAGCAGCCGCCGUAA
rnacentral:rRNA from 1 species